GCUCUUUUUAUAAGGAUAGAGAGUAACUGUUUUUUUUUUUUAAUUUUUUUUAAUGUUUAUUUUUGAGAGACAGAGAGACAGAGCAUGAGCAGUGGAGGGGCAGAGAGAGAGGGAGACACAGACUCCAAACCAGGCUCCAGGCUCUGAGCUGUCAGCAAAGAGCCCAACGUGGGGCUCAGACCCGUGCUCUGUGAGAUCAUGACCUGAGCCGAAGUCGGACGCUCAAUAGACUGAGCCACCCAGGCACCCCGAGAGCAACUGUUUUGAGAACUUCUAGGUACCCUCUGGAAAAGUCCAAGUUCAUUCAAGAGCAAAAAGACUUCAUUUAGAAUUUGAUUUGGGGAAGUUUACUUAAAAUGCCAACAUUUUUAAAACAUUUGAUCAAAUAGGAUCACAGGUCACUGUGAAACAAUACUUAUUUACCCAUGCAACCAAAGUAACAAAAGAUUCUAGGGAGAAUACAGAAAGUUAGACUGUAGUAAGAAACAAAAAACAAAAAACAAAAAACAACUUAGGUCUUUUAAUAGAGAAGACUCAGUUGUUAUUGUUUUUAAGUAGUCAAAGACCUGAUAAAGAUAACAUUGAAUGCAGGAAAUAUUUUGAGAAGACACAGAAUCUUUGUUUCCCAGGCACAGACCUUAAAGGAAAAUCUUUAUUUAUAAAUUUCUUAUUAAGAGCAGACCAAUAAUCUAAGAAAACCUUGUUCUUUUAACAGAGAGAUUUUAUACUAGUAUACUUUUGAUAUUAAAACUCCUUUUUUAAAAAAAAUAACUAAAUCCAUUUCAAUCUGUGUCUCAAGAUUUCUUUUCCAUAGACUUCUACAACUUUUUUAUGUGUAUUCACCCUUUGUCCACCCCCCUUUUCUUCAUUCUGGAAUAAUCAUUCUAUUUUAAGACAAAAUUACUUUCUUUUUUCCUUCACCAGCUUUCCUGCCAAACCUCCCGCCCCCCUUGUGUCUUUUAUACCUUUCCUUAUCCAAAAAACACAUUCUAUUUUCCUUACCUAUUUUUCAUAUACAGUUGUUUUGUCUCACCUUUAUUAUUUCCAGGAGAUUUUAUCACAUAUUUUACUUAGAAUUCUUAACCCUUAGAAUCCUUAAUUCCUAGGAAGCAAUUCUGGACUGGCAAAUUUAUAAACAUAUUUAAUAAUUUCUAAAGUAUAUUCUUCCUCAUAGUAAAUUUUUCAAUGUGACACAAAACAUGUUUGCUAAUAGACCCAAAUAUCUUUUGUCUUUCUGUAAAGAUGUUAAAAAAGACAAGAGAAGACAAACCUAUGUUUAGCAUUUAUUUUAUUUGGAGAUAAUUUUGAUAUUCAAUGAAUAGCGAAUCAAAUCAAUAUUAUUUAGUUUAACUUAGCAUAAACUUUUAUUUGCAUUUAUUUAAAUUACUUGCUUUUAGCAAUUAUGCUUGGAUUAGACAUCAAAUAGCUCAUCUUAAGCUAUUUUUGUUGUUGACAAAUUUUGUAAUAUGGAGAUAGCAUAAGCUUAUUUAACUCAGGUAAACCCAGGUAGAAAAAGUUGUAUGUCUGCAUUACCUUCAUGUUGAUAACUGUGAAGACACUAUUGUUUUAUUAAAUCAACAAACUUAAAACUAGCUUUUAUUUAUCAAAGUUUGUCUCAGAUCAUAUGAACUUGCAAAAUAUUUGGGUUAGUUUGUAUAUUUCUUAGAGUUUUAGAAAUACUGUAUAUAAAACACUUAUUUUUCUCUAAGCCAACAAAAUAGGUCUCUUUACAAAUUGACUUUGGCAAUACCAUCUGAAGUAGAAAAACAUCACACAUCUAUAAUAUGUAUACAUAGACCUACAUAAACCUAUAGGCAGACACAGAGACCUCACAUUUUUUACUCUAAAAUUUUAGCUAUAAAAACUUACUAGUUUAUAAAAGAACAGUUGGAUCCAAAUUGUGUUUCUAGAAGAUGAAUGAGGAAGUUAAGGUUACCUCUCAGAUGUCCAAACUUUAUUACUGAAAAUUUUUAUUUUCAUGGUGUAAGAAUCCUUUUAGAGCUAUUUUUGGAGUCUCUUAGUUUUUUUUUUUUUUUAGAAGUUUCUGGAUACCAUCAAAGAAUGCAUCCACUGUCUCUAAGAAGUUUGACACCCUCUCUUGUGAGGGACAUCCUUUAAGGUAGACUUACUCAAGGUAAGGUUUCUCCAAAGUAGCUACUACGAUUACAAAUUAUCCAAAGUUCACCAAUUUUCUAAAAAGUUACAAGUUUCCGGUUCCAUGAUGGGUAUACACUGAAGAAAAAGGAAUUUUCUGACAGAGGUGAAGAAAGUGAUUUGACAAGGUGGAGUCCAUCUUUGCCCUUAGAUUCCCUAAGAUGUCUUAAAUUUGAGGUGACCUGUUUCUUCAUAGCUUUUCCAAAAACACAGGGAAUUAUGUAUUUUCCCCCUUUUGAACAGAAUAGGCUGACUUAACAAGAAGCUUCAGCAUACAAAAUACAGUUAUGCACGAUAAAGUUGGAGAGCUCAAAAUACAAAGAGAACAGAGCUUGGGUCCAAGGGACUUACCCUCAAACUCCAGGAUCAGCCAGAAAGCAGGGAACUCAGUGGGCUCUGUGGAUACUGGCAUCUUUUUGCUCAUGGGCCUCAGAGUUAUUGGAGGGGUCUUCUUUGUACCCCAUAUCUGAUGACUUGAACUGUCAGUAGUUCAGAAAUGGCAGAAGUAAAACCAAAUAGUUAUUGAAAUACUAAUUAAUAUAAGUUUAUCAUGCACACACUGAGAACACUCAGACCAAAAUGUGGAGUGCAGCUCAGGGGUAUAUUGUUAUAAAGCAGCUUGUGUAGUGAGAAAGCUGUGACUGUGUUCUUCACAGUGACUAGUUACGGUAUUAAAAUUUUCUUAAAUGAUAGGGAAUUGGUUAGUAGUUACCUCAUAUCAAUUUUGGGAAGCAGUUUAAGUUUUGCUUAUGAUUCCCAGAGGUAUAAGCAAGAAAUGACUCAGGUUAAGUUAGUCUUGCAAAAUAAGCUAAAGUUAACUUUCUAUGACUGAACUGCUUUUGUCUGCUCAGGGAAUUAAAAGAAAUUUUUUUCAAAGUUUAUUUAUUUUGGUGGAGGGAGGGGCAGAGAGAGAGAGAGAGAGAGAGAGAGAGAGAGAGAAUCCCAGACAGGCUCCACACUGUCAAUGUGAGCCCGACAUGGGGCUCGAACUCACAAACCACGAACGAGAUCAUGACCUGAGCUGAAAUCAAGAGUCCGAUGCUCAACGAACUGAGCACCCAGGAGUCCCGGAAUUUUUUUAAAUUGAGGUAGAAUUGAUACACAUUGUUACAUUAGUUUCAGGUGUACAACACAGUGAUUGGACGUUACACAUUAUGCUAUGCUCGCCACAAGUUGUAGCUACUAUUGGUCAUCGCACAACGCUAUUAUGAUAUCACUGAUUAUAUUUCCUAUGCAGUGCCUUUUAUCCCUGUGAUUUACUCAUUCCAUAAUUGGAAGUCCUCAGGGAUUUUUUUAAAGCUGGUCUCCAUUUGUUUUUUAGUUUAAUAAGUUAAACAAAUAAUAGUAAUAAAUAAAAAAAUAAAAGGUAGAAAAAUAAAGAGAUGGAGGCUGCCAGCUUCAACAAGGUAGAGGGAGAGAGUAAACAUGGCUCUCACUAAGCUCCCUCCCAGAGAGUAUCUCAGCUUCUGAGCCCAGUGCUUUAAAAUCAGGAAAUGAGCCUCUUUCCCAUAAAGUCUGGGCACUUUUCAAACAGCUCCUGUGUGCUGGGCUUUGGAGCAGGUGAGUCUACUCACGGGCCCUUUAAGAGCCAUUCCUCAGUUCGCACAGCCCUAUGGGUCUCACAGAGGAGAGCUAGUGUGGUUUCCAAGCUGGGUGUCUUGGAGGCUGUCUCUCAGGGCAGGUGUUAAGAGGUGGGGUGUGCCAUGUGAGAUAUGAAAACUUAGCUCCUCGGAGAGAAGCUCCAGGUUCUGCAUUCCUUCUGGUCGGCGAGAUUGUGUUUCUCCCUCUCCUGGCCGCUUCAGCGUGUUCUCCCUCUCCUUCCCAGUGUGAAGGAGUGGCUCUGAUAGUUUUUAGGUUUUUUUUUUCCCCCAGUGGAAAUUGUUCCAUAUGUAGCUUUAGAUUUAGUGUCUGUGGGAGGAGGUGAGUUGAGGACCUUCCUAUGUGGCCAUGUGAACUGGACUUGGACCUUGCUGGUGAACUUUUUCAGAGAGAAGGAUCUCUGUCUACUGGCUCCUGCUUUGCUCCCUGUACAGCAGAUAAGUGCCCAGGAAGUAAUGCUCUGCAGGCUUCCAGGGACAGGCUUCCAACAAUGACCAGAGGAGCCCUCAACGACUGAUCUUCAGAUGACAGCACUAAGAAUUGAUGGAAACUAUUUUUUUUCAAACUCAGUACACCCAAGAGAAUCUGGGAUGACUGCCAGUUACAGAAAUGAAGGAAAAGAAAGACGCCAGGGGUAUGUGCCCACAGAGAAAAGACCAUAUGAGAACACAGAAUUCAGUCAUCUGUAAGCCAAAGAGAGAAACCAACCCUACCAGUUCCUUGAUCAUGGACUCCAGCCUCCAAAACUGUAAGAAAAUAAAUUUCUUUAUUUAAGUCACUCAAUCUGUGGUAUUUUAUAAGGCAACCCUAGCACAUUAAGACAAUUUCUUCACAUUUUACUAAAGGUAGAGUUAUGGCCUAAAUAGAAAUAAGUUGCUCAAAGACUUAAAAGAAAAUAAUGUGCUUUGGAUAUACUAUAUAUCAUGAAUCAUGCUGGUGCAUUUAUCUGUAUUCCUUUAUUUUAGCCUCUGUAAGACCCUCAUUGAGGUAAGUUGAUAAAAUCCAUAAUUUUUUAAAGUUCAAAAGCAUUCAUUCUUUUCUUCAGCCAUAGUUGCUAUAUUCCAGGGUUGGCAUGUGGGCAAGGUGAACAUAGAGUUUGUCCUUAUAUUCUUGGGAAAAAAUUAAAAAAAUAAAAAAUUAAACUAAAAAAACACCCUUUUGUAAUCUAACCUUUGUUUACUUUUCCAGUUACAUUUCUAGCCACCCUCCAGUCUGCAAUUCCGUAAUAAUGGUGGAAACAGAUAUAGCCUGGUUUUCUCUAGUCAUUUGUCCUGGCUAGAGUUUAUAUUGGAUGUGCUUUCCAUGGAAGGGUAGGCAAGUGUUGUUGAAAAACAAAGAUGGUUGUUCUUGAAGAGAUUUAGAGAGAUUUUAAGUCUUUUAAGUCAUUUUCAAGUAAGUCAUUUCCCACUGGGUGUAUAGAAUAAAGCAGAAAGGUUUUGAACAGAUAUUUUCUCCAUGCCGUCUUUUAAUUUUAAUUUUCUUAAAUUAAAAUAUGGAAGAAAAAUAGGAAAGUACAAAUAAACAAAGAUAUAUAACAACACAUAUAUCAAUACAACUUUCAGUUGGUCAAGAAAUAGAAUACUACCUUUUCUUAAUAACUAGAUAGUUUCUCCCUUUCAAAAUAACCACUAUCUUUGUUGUAUGGUAAUUGUUUCCUUGUCGUAUAUUACUGUUUUUACAGUUUUACAUAUAUUUGUGACAGUUUUACAUAUAACUUGCAGCACUACCUGUUUAAGUUUUAUGUAAAGAAAAGCAUGCCGUUUGUGUUCUUUUUUUUCUAGUUUUAUUCAUGCAGCAUUGUGUUUUUAGAUUUCAUCAGAUUAAUUUAUGUAGAUAUGUGCUAUUCAUUCAUUUAGUUGUAUAAUAUUCCAUUGUAUAAAUAUGCCAUAGUUCAUUAUUAAUGGACAUUGGGUUGCUUGAGCUUUGGGAAACUAUAAAUAAUUCUACAAUGGCAUUCAGUGCUACAAUGGCAUUCUUAACACAGAAACAUGUCAUUUGCCACAAAUGUGCAUAAAUUUAGCUAGGAGUACAACUAAUAAAUCAUAAGAUAUUCAUUGACUUUAUGUGAUUGGUGCCAAAAUCCUUUUAAAGUGGUUUCUAAAGGGCUACUGCUACUAGCAGUGUGCAAGAGUUCUAAUAUCUCCACAUCUUUGUGAUGGUCAGUCAUAUAUAUAUUUUAUCCUGUUGGACAUACAAUCUGUAUCAUUGUGGUUCUAAUUUUUAUUUCCUUGAUUAUUAAUAAGGUCAAACUACUUUUCAUGAGUUUGUAGGUCACUUGACAGCCCUCUCUUUUAAAGUGUGUGUUCAAAACUCAUUCUUAUUUAUUUAUAUUUUUUGGAUUGACUCCCUUUUUCAUAAAAAUUUGAAGGCAUUUUCUAAAUAUCAAUGAAUUUUAAUUAAAUAUAUUAUAAAUAUCUCCUCUGAGUAUGUGACUUGCCUUUAACUCUCUCAAAAUUAUGUCUUUUCAUGAACAUUAUUUCUUUAUUUAAAUGUUGUGAAAUUUAUCAAGGUUUUGCCUUUGUGGUUAUUAUUUCCUGUAUCUUAUUUAAGGAAUCUCUCCUUAACGUGAAAAAUGUGAAAAUAUUAUCUUUUGUUAUUUUUUUUAGAAAGUAUAUCGCUCUACCUUUCUCAUUAUGAUCUAUAAUCUACCUGGAAAUGAUUGUAUCUGGUUAUAUGUAAGAAUCAAGUUCUGUAUUUCUCCACAAGGAUAUUUAAUUGAGCCACCCCCAUUUAAUAAAGUAGCUCUCUUUUCUUUUUCAUGUACACUACCAUUAUUAUCACAAAUUAUGUGCCCAUAUAUCUGUCUCUAGGUACUCCAUGCUAUUCCAUUGGUACAUUUGUGUAUAUUUUUGCUAACAUUACACUAUCCUAAUAAGUGACUCAGAAGUCUUAAAAUCUGGUAAAAGAAGUCUUUACACUUUUAUUUUUCAAGAGUGCUAGUCUAUUCUUGAUUCUCAUAUUUACAUAUAAACAUUAUAAUCACCUUGCCAAGCUAAAAGUUUAAUGAGAUAUUAUUAAGCAUCAGUUUGUAGAGAAUUUACAUGCAUACAAUAUUAAGCUUUCUGAACCAUAAAUAUGUCAUAUUCCUCCAUUUAUACAAGCCUUAAAAAUUUUUUAAUAAUAUUUUAUAAGUUUUCUACAUAGAAGUCAUGUACACUCUUUGUUAGAUUUAUUCAUGGACAGUGAUGUUUCUAAUGUAAUAAAUGAAUUUCAGUUUUUAAAUUCCUAUCUUCUUGUUUCUAGUAUACAAGAAUGCAUUUAUUUGUGUUCAUUGAGCUCAUAUCCAAAAACCCUACUAAAAUUAUUAAUUUUAAUACCUUAUAUAUAUCUACUUUUGAUAUUUUCCUGUAGAUAACAAUAUUAUUUAAAACUAAUGUAUUAUUUUUCUUCCCAGUCUUUUUUUUUUAACUUUUCAAUAUUUUUCUUGCUUUACCACAUAUGCUAGGUCAUAUAAUAACAUUUAAUAGAAAUGGUGACAUCAAGCAUCCCUGUCUCACUUCUGUUAAAAUUAAGAUAAGCCAUAAAUUGUGUUAAUUAUACUUAUUCAUAUUCAGCUUUAUACUUUUGUUUAUUACAUAUUGUAUUCUGAAAUUCUCAAUAUUAACUUUU